rnacentral:rRNA from 1 species
AUUGAACGCUGGCGGCAGGCCUAACACAUGCAAGUCGAGCGGAUGAAGGGAGCUUGCUCCUGGAUUCAGCGGCGGACGGGUGAGUAAUGCCUAGGAAUCUGCCUGGUAGUGGGGGAUAACGUCCGGAAACGGGCGCUAAUACCGCAUACGUCCUGAGGGAGAAAGUGGGGGAUCUUCGGACCUCACGCUAUCAGAUGAGCCUAGGUCGGAUUAGCUAGUUGGUGGGGUAAAGGCCUACCAAGGCGACGAUCCGUAACUGGUCUGAGAGGAUGAUCAGUCACACUGGAACUGAGACACGGUCCAGACUCCUACGGGAGGCAGCAGUGGGGAAUAUUGGACAAAGGGCGAAAGCCUGAUCCAGCCAUGCCGCGUGUGUGAAGAAGGUCUUCGGAUUGUAAAGCACUUUAAGUUGGGAGGAAGGGCAGUAAGUUAAUACCUUGCUGUUUUGACGUUACCAACAGAAUAAGCACCGGCUAACUGCGUG